GACGAUGACGAAGGCUGAGGACCACGCUGAAGAUCAGGGACUCUUCCAGGAUGACGAUGAUGAAGGCUGAGGACCAUAAGGACCACGCUGAAGAUCAGAAACUCUUCCAUGAUGAAGAUGAUGAAGGUUGAGGACCACGCUGAAGAUCAGGGACUCUUCCAGGAUGACGAUGAUGAAGGCUGAGGACAACGCUGAAGAUCAGGGACUCUUCCAGGAUGACGAUGAUGAAGGCUGAGGACCAUGAGGACCACACUGAAGAUCAGAAACUCUUCCAGGAUGACCAUGAUGAAGGCUGAGGACCACGCUGAAGAUCAGAAACUCUUCCAUGAUGAAGAUGAUGAAGGCUGAGGAACACGCCAAAGGCUGGGAACUCUUGGAAGAUGAUGAUGAUGAAGGUCGAAGACAAUACUGAAGAUCAGGGACUCUGAGGAUGACGAUGAUGAAGGUUGAGGACAAUACUGAAGAUGACGAUGACGAAGGCUGAGGACCACGCUGAAGGUCAGGGACUCUUUGAGGAUGACGAUGAUGAAGGUUGAGGAACAUGUCAAAGGCUGGGGACUCUGAAGAUGACGAUGAUGAAGGCUGAGAACCAGGAGGACCACGCUGAAGAUCAGGGACUCUGAAGAUGACAAUGACGAAGGUUGAGGACCACGCUGAAGAUCGGGGACUCUCUGAAGAUGACGAUGACGAAGGCUGAGGACCAUGAGGACAGGGAACUCUGAAGACGAUGAUGAUGAAGGCUGAGGAC